AGCCAUGGAACUUAUGUUUCUUGUAGCUUUUCUCUUAAUCUUAGCCGCUUUAUAUGUAGCCAAAGGAAAAAAUUCAAUUGUGAAUCUUCCCCCUGGACCUCGGCCCUUGCCUUUCAUCGGUAAUUUCCACCUCCUGAAACGACCACAUUAUAGAUCUCUGUCCGAUCUUGCCAACCAAUAUGGCCCCAUAUUUAGCCUGCGACUUGGAAUUAGACCAGUCGUAAUUGUCUCUUCAGCUAGUCUUGCUCAAGAAUGCUUCACCAAAAAUGACAUUACCUUUGCAUCUAGGCCUCAAUUGGCUUUUGGAAAAUACCUUGGCUAUAACUACAUGUCAGUUGCUUGGGCUCCCUAUGGUGCCCAUUGGCGAAACUUGCGAAGGAUUGAGACGCUUGAACUCCUGUCUUCAAGGAAAAUUGAGAUGUUUGCGUAUAUCCGACAUGAGGAAGUGGCAGCAUUGCUACAAAGUAUUGUUGAAGCCUCAGAUAGAGGAGAGGUGGUGAACUUGAAGGAUAGUAUCGAAGAGACCAUGUUCAAUGCCAUUGUAAAGAUGGUGGCUGAUAAAAGUUACUAUGGAAGUAGGGCUAAGGAUCUACAUGAAGCAAAGGCAUUUAUAGAAGUCAUUAAUGAGACAUUCACAUUGUCUGGCGUGUUGAACAUUGGGGAUUUUAUUCCAUGGCUUUCAUGGUUGGGACUUAGGGGGAUUAGACUUAUGAAAGCAUUGCAUAGGAAGAGAGAUAGGCUUAUACAGCGCAUUGUGGAUGAGCAUAGGAAGUUGAGGAGUGGGGAUGGUCAUGUUUUUAAACAAGAUUUCAUUCACAUGUUGCUGGACAUGCAUGAAGAGGAUCCCAACUAUUUCACAGAUGAUCUGAUCAAGAGUAUAAUCCAGGUAUGUCUUGGACUUCACAGCAACCUUUUCUCAUGAACUUUCACAAAUAUUUCUCAUUUGAAUGUAACAAUUCCUAUUCUCCUUAAAACCAAUAUAUUUGCUGGCUGAGCAUUGAAAAUACUGUAGAGAUUCAUUGUGAUAAGUGUUACAUGGAGGCCAGACACAUUAUUGUCCAACAUGUGUACAGGGGUGUGUUAUAUAUAUUAGUCCAAGAAUUGUUGAACUGAAAAUAGGGAAGUAGCAUAUAAACCUUAAUAAAAGAGUACAUGGAUCUAAAAUAAAGUCGUAAAACUGCUAGGAAUAUGAUGACAUAUUUUUAAAGCAACUGCUAGGACUAUGAUGAUAUCUUUUUAAAGCUUUUCAUGAGGACACUUCUGGGUUGCAUUCGUCCUUUGAACAUGAUUGCUUCCUUGGUCCGGCUCCCACUGCUACUCUCAUUCCUCUACCAUGUAAAGGAGGACUUUGUUGCAUGCUUGUGUCUUUGACAGGUCAACCACUUCAUGGAGAACGUCAUUGAUAUGCAUAUUCUACAUCAUUUCUUAUGCUGAAAUCAUCUUUUGAGAAGCCUUUGGUUAUCAUACUAAUUGCUGAUUUGAGCACUGAAAGUAUAGUCACCAAGGUGUUAAAUUGGGACUGGUGCAGGAUGUUGCUUAUACCGGUUAUGUGUUUAUUUAUAUGCAUCUGGGUGUGUUCUUUUGUGCUCUUCUGCUAUUAGAGCUUAUACCUGUUACAAGUCUUCCUCCUAUAAUCUGAAACAUUAUAGAUGAUUCAGUGAAGAGAAUGAAAUAAAAGUUUUUAAUCAUGCCCUUAUGUUUCACGGCCUAGGCUAUUCCCAAUCGAAACUCCUGCCAUUCUUGGUAGGCAACCUAGGUGAGCUGCAAACAUAGAGAGGCAUAUGGAAUUGUGGACAUCUAAUUACUCUUGUAAGGCCCCUUCAAUCACUAAGUGAAUCUUACUUUGUUUGGCCAUUAGUUAGAACUUAGAACUUUGGAUUCGCUUGUUCCAUAUUUUGAUAUGUUGGAUCAGUGAUUGAAAUUCGGAGCCUCGGGAUCAGACUCGCCCGAGUGACUCAAACCCAACAGGGUGCAGGAUCCACCUCCAGAACCCUUGGACUCGCCCAAGUCGGACCAAGAAAGCGAGCCUUCUGUGUAAUUUUCAUGGAGACUCCGCCGAGUCAGAUCGCUGACUUGGGCAAGUCAAACUACUGACUCAGGCUUGGGCCACUGGUGAGUCUGCACCCAAAUCUAAGCUUUAAGUCUAUGUUGGAUUUUUCUAGUUUGUAUUUUGAAGUUUCAUGGAUGACACACAGCAUAUGCUUUUUCCCAUUGUUUAUGUUGAAACAAUAUUUUAGCUAAGGCACCAAUGAAACAUCUCCUGCAGCUGUGGUGUGCCUUUUUUUCUUUUUUUUUUAAACUGGAUACACGAAUUUUUCGCAAAGGUUAUUAUCGUGCGGAGUUCUAUAAGCCAAUUGAGAUCUUGGGACAUCUCUUGCGAGACAUUCGAAAUCUUGGAAGAAUUUUGAAAUCUUGGUUUCCUGGGGAAAACUUGGUAAAAAUUAGGAAAUUUAAAAUCUAAAUUAUAAAAUCAAAUUCACCUAUAAGGUUUCAAGAUUGAAGUUUUUACAAACUUCUAUUAUGUCUGUUUGUUAACAUAUUUUGUUUAUUUUAUUAAAAAUACAUAAUGUUGUCUACACAUUUGUAACUUGCUUUUUCUCUUGUAAAAAAACUGGGAAGAUCUUGUAAUACUCUUUUCUUAAUACAAUAGUCAACACUUUCCAAAAAAAACGACUGUGGGAGGAAAAAAGAAAAUAAGGAACGAAAUAUCACAGUAUUAUGGAGAAUUAUAGUUUUCUAUAUGAAACAUUUCUAUACGAAAAGGAACAAUACACUUCUUUCAUCGAUCAUGAGAUUUCAAAAAUAAAACUGAAAUGGAGAUGUUUGUGACUAAUUAUGGCCGAAGUCCUCAUUGGGCACAAUGCAUCCCCUCACCCCCCCCCCCCCAUUUUUACCUGAUUCUUCUCCAGGUCAUGAUCGUGGCAGGAACAGAGACCACAGCUGUGACAUUGCAGUGGGCAAUAGCCCUCCUCCUCAACCACCCUGACUCCCUUCAGAAAGCUCAAACCGAGCUAGACCAACAAGUGGGAAGGGACCGAUUAGUUGAAGAAUCCGAUCUCUCAAAGUUAGAGUACCUACGGGCUAUUAUCAAUGAGACACUACGCUUAUAUCCUCCGGCCGCCACUCUCCUACCCCAUGAAUCCACUACAACGUGCACUCUCGGUGGCUACACCGUGCCAAAAGGCACAAUGCUCUGGGUGAACGCAUGGCACAUACAGAGGGACCCUUGCGCGUGGUCCGAGCCUUUGAGGUUCGAGCCUGAGAGGUUUAUAGGAAGUGGGGUUGAUGUGAAGGGCCAAGAUUUUAGGGUGAUACCAUUUGGUUCUGGGAGGAGGAGCUGUCCUGGAAUGGGCUUGGCAUUGAGGUCAUUAGAGUACGUGCUCGCGAGUUUGUUGCAUGCUUUUGAGUGGCGGAGGGAGGGCCCGGAGCCAGUCGAUAUGACGGAUGUGGGCAUCUCAUUGAAGAUGGCUGCGCCCUUGAGGGCACUCGCAACUCCGCGGCUCGAGCCUCAUGUCUGCCUCCUUGCAUGAUGCAUACAUUGGCUGUAUCUGAGGAGAGAUUAUGGACAUGUUAGAUCACAUGUAUAAUGUAUCUUAGUGCUUGCAUGUGUGUGGACACGCCCACGAGAACGUGUUAUGAUAUGUUUGUAAGAUCAUUAUCUCUAUUUGAGACUUAUUUAAGUAUUGUGUGAUGCAAUUCAUUGCUUUGCUACCAUCUUGGGUAUGUAACUGCCAGUUAAUGGAAGUCUCAUGGCUCUUGUAUUUUAAAGGGCUGGGGUAUUGAGAGAGUUGAGUGACAAUAAACUUGAGCUUUUGAGCAGCAAAUGUAUUUCGUUCACUUAAUUUCAGAUCAGAAAACAGGUGAUUCUCUCUCUCUUUAUAAAUACACAAGCUAUUCAUUCAUUUACAUGAUUCAGUUUGUAACUAGGAUACACAUCUGCAAAAUUAAUAUCAAAUAUGCUCAUCUUUGUGAUAAGGAAAAUGCCAUCAUUUGUAAGUACAAUUGAUAAUACAGGUUAUUUUCACAGAAAAUUGAUUUUCUGACUAAAUAGUCCAUUCCAACAUAAGCCAGUAUUCUGAUUUAAACAACUCUCUCUCUCUCUCUCUCUCUCAAACAAAUUCGGUUUUUCAAAAAUCAAAAUUUAAUUUUAAAACAUUUUGGUUUUUGAAAAACCAAAUGAAGGCAGGUCCAUUUUUCUUUUAAAAACGGAAACUUUGACGUAAUCCCAUAAUAACUGUAAAUAUAACAGUUAUAAACGUUAUUUUUCCAAAAAAAUAUUAAAGUUUUAAAAAUUAAAUAGUGCAUCUUUGCAGUGCCGUCAGAUAAAUUUCUCUUUUUAAAGGCUUUUACUACUUGAUAAAAGUGAUGUGUUUUAGUUUUAGGGAAAUUUACCAAAUAAUAAUUUAUUCCCAAAUUUUAAAUACUUCCCUUUGUUAUCAUUUGUAAAGUAGUAGUUAAAGAGAGUGCUUGAGAUUGCAGAGAGAACCUUUUGCAGAGCUCUAUAUAUGUGCUCUGUAUUGACUAAAACUCUCUUCUAUCCAUGUUUCAAGGUUUACCCCAUGAGAAUUUCUCAACAGAAAGAACCUGUACGGUUUGGUUUUCUCAUUUCAAUCGUCUGUUUUCUCUGCUAAUUUCAGUGCUCUUUUUAGCAGUAAAUAUUUACAGGAGGAAAUUCUUGAUUCCUCUACUAUAGUGGAUUUUGGGUGUUUCCCUCUACAGUGAGCUUAUUUUGGCUUUAGGACUUGGAGGCCUAGAUUCCUGGGGUUUCAGACUGAAAACCAGUGGUUAUGAUGCUUCUUUAGUUAUUGCUUUUGAGAUGUUGCAUAACUAGAUUAAGGAUUUUGGAGCUUAUAUUAUGUGGGUUUCUUUUUUUCUCUUUGGUGGUGGUUCUAAAAUGCCAGAGGGCCAUGGCUUUGGCAUUGGUUUAUGAUUUCCUUUGCAAAGCCUAAGAAAUAAGCCAACCAGUCGAAGAUAAAAUAUAUGUUUUUCUGUUUUUCUUUUUCUAAUUUAUUGGGGUGUCUUAUUUCUAUGGCUAAUAUUUAUGCACUAAUAAAAGGAAAACUAGAUUUACCUGUUGGAGUGGAUAAUUUCCAAAUUAAUCGUAUUUUUGUAGUCUCAUAUGUUUUACUAGUCUGUAUAUUUCCAAAUUAGUAUCCUAGAAAGUAUAUUAAAAAAGAAGUGCAUUAAAUAUUAGCCAUAGAAAUUUCUAUGAUGGGUUGUUAAGGAUAACUUCUAGAUGAGUUGAAUUUUGGGUUGUGGAUGGGAUACAUUUUCUUUUUAAUAUACUUCUUUUUUUAUUCUACUUUCUAGGUUACUACUAUUUCAUUUUCUUUGAUGGGUUGUGAAGUAUCACUUCGGGAUGCGUUGAAUUUUGGAGAAAAGAAAAACCCUAAAAUAACUAGGAGCAUAAUUAACUUCUACUCGCUCGGUCAAAUGAUCUACUUCGGAGGAAUUUUUUCAAUUUGAAAAUUUGGGAACCACAUGCUGUAUAAUUAUUUUCGAAAGAAAAAACAAAAUAAAAUUUGGAGUUUUUUAAAACUUAGAUCUCACCCUCUAAAAAUUCAUUGUUUCUAUUCAAUCUUGAGACGGGUGUUUGUAAUGAGGUUUAUAUUCCAAAAUUUGGAGUCCUAAAAUUAACUCUAGAUGAGAUUUUACCUGAGGAAAUAAGUGGUUAGUAUACUCCGGAGGGAGUAAAUAAAAUAUAUGACUUUUCAGGUGCUAGCUCAUAAGGGACUGGUAAAAAAACGUGGAGCUAACCAUGAAAAAGUGAGUAGAUAGCCAUGGGUGGGAGUGUAAUAUUCAAAUGAAAGCAAUGAAACGUAACCUCUUAUGUAUGCACACAAUAAUGUUUCAAGAACCCAUGACUUUUCCCAAAAAUGCAAGGCCCGAUGCUUCGGUGGCAAUGUUUCUUGAAUACUUAUAUAUGAUCUUGGGAUUAAUAGGAAUCCAUCUCUUCUCUGUGAACUGGAAAAUGGUUGAUAUAGAAUUUGUAUUUGUCUUCUUUUUUUCCCACUAUGUCUGUGAUAAGCAUAUUUUUGUAUGUUAGUAAGAAUUUGAAGUUCCUAUUGCUGAAAGUCCCUGAAAAGAAAACAAAAAGCCAUGGAACUUAUGUUUCUUGUAGCUUUUCUCUUAAUCUUAGCCGCUUUAUAUGUAGCCAAAGGAAAAAAUUCAAUUGUGAAUCUUUCCCCUGGACCACGGCCGUUGCCUUUCAUCGGUAAUUUCCACCUCCUGAAACGAUCACUUCAUAGAUCUCUAUCCGAUCUUGCCAACCAAUAUGGCCCCAUAUUUAGCCUGCGACUUGGAAUUAGACCAGUCGUAAUUGUCUCUUCACCUAGUCUCGCUCAAGAAUGCUUCACCAAAAAUGACAUUACCUUUGCAUUUAGGCCUCGAUUGGCUUUUGGAAAAUACCUUGGCUAUAACUACAUGUCAGUUGCUUGGGCUCCCUAAGGUGCCCAUUGGCGAAACUUGCGAAGGAUUGAGACGCUUGAACUCCUGUCUUCAAGGAAAAUUGAGAUGUUUGCGUAUAUCCAACAUGAACAAGUGGCAGCAUUGCUACAAAGUAUUGUUGAAGCCUCAGAUAGAGGAGAGGUGGUGAACUUGAAGGAUAGUAACGAAGAGACCAUGUUCAAUGCCAUUGUAAAGAUGGUGGCUGAUAAAAGUUAUUAUGGAAGUGGGACUAAGGAUCUAGAUGAAGCAAAGGCAUUUAUAGAAGCCAUUAAUGAUACAUUCACAUUGUCUGGGGUGUUGAACAUUGGGGAUUUUAUUCCAUGGCUUUCAUGGUUGGGACUUAGGGGGAUUAGACUUAUGAAAGCAUUGCAUAGGAAGAGAGAUAGGCUUAUGCAGCACAUUGUGGAUGAGCAUAGGAAAUUGAGGAGUGGGGAAGGUCAUGUUUUCAAGCCAGAUUUCAUUCACAUGUUGCUGGACAGGAAAGAAGAGGAUCCCAACUAUUUCACAGAUGAUCUGAUCAAGAGUAUAAUCCAGGUAUGUCUUAGAAUUCACAGCAACCUUUUCUCAUGAACUUUCACAAAUAUUUCUCAUGUGAAUGUAACAAUUCCUAUGUUCCUGAAAACCAAUAUAUUUGCUGGCUGAGCAUUUGAAAAAACCGUAGAGUUUCAUUGUGAUAAUUGUUACAUGGAGGCAGACACAUUAUUGUCCAACAUGUGUACGGGGGUGUGUUAUAUAUAUUAGUCCUAGAAUUGUUGAACUGAAAAUCUGGAAGUGGCAUAUAAACCUUUAUAAAAGAGUACAUGGAUCUAAAAUAAAGUCAUAAAACUGCUAGGAAUAAGAUGGUAUCCUUUUUAAGCAACUGCUAGGAAUGAUGAUAUCUUUUUAAAGCUUUUCAUGAGGACACCUCCUGGUUGCAUUGGUCCUUUGAACAUGAUUGCUUCCUUGGUCUGGCUCCCACUGCUACUCUCAUUCCUCUACCAUGUAAAGGAGGACUUUGUUGCAUGCUUGUGUCUUUGACAGGUCAACCACUUUACAGAGAACGUCAUUGAUAUGCAUAUUCUACAUCAUUUCUUAUGCUGAAAUCAUCUUUUGAGAUGCCUUUGGUUAUCAUUCGAAUUGCUGAUUUGAGCACUGAAUGUAUAGUCACCAAGGUGUUAAAUUGGGAAUGGUGCAGUAUGUUGCUUAUACCAGUUAUGUGUUUAUUUAUAUGCAUCUGAGUGUGUUCUUUUCUGCUCUUCUGCUAUUAGAGCUUUAUACCUGUUACAAGUCUUCCUCCCAUAAUCUGAAACAUUAUAGAUGAUUCAGUGAAGAGAAUGAAAUAAAAUUCUUAAUCAUGACCUUAUGUUUCACGGGCUAGGCUAUUCCCAAUCAAAACUCUUUCCAUACUUGCCAUUUGUAGUAGGCAACCUAGGUCAGCUGAAAACAUAGAGAGGUAUAUGGAAUUGUAGACACCUAAUUACUCUUGUAAGGCCCCUUCAAUCACUAAGUGAAUCUUACUUUGUUUGGCCGUUAGUUAGAACUUUGGACUCGCUUGUUCCAUAUUUUGAUAUGUUGGAUCAGUGAUUGAAAUUUGGAGCCUUGGGAUUAGACUCGCCUGAGUCACUCAAACCCUGCAGGGUGCAGGAUCCGCUUCCAGAACCCUAAGACUUGCCCAAGUCGGAGCAAGUAAUGAGCCUUCUGUGUAAUUUUCAUAGAGACUCCGCCGAGUCAGAUCGCUGACUUGGGCAAGUCAAACUACUGACUCAGGCUUGGGUCCCUGGUGAGUCCGCACCCAAAUCUAAGCUUUAAGUCUAUGCUGGAUGUUCCUGGUUUGUAUUUUGAAGUUUCAUGGACGACACGCAGCAUAUUCUUUUUCCCCCUGUUUAUGUUGAAACAAUAUUUUAGGUAAGGCACAGAUGAUAAAUCUCCUGCAGUUGUGGUGUGCCUUUCUUUAAAAAAAAAAGCUGGAUACAAGAAUUUUUCACAAAGGUUAUUAUCCUGCAGAGUUCUAUAAGCCAAUUGAGAUCUCGGAACAUCUCUUGCGUGACAUCCGAAAUCUUGGGAGAAUUUUAAAAUCUUGGUUUCCUGGGGAAAACUUGGGAAAAAUAAGGAAAUUUAAAAUCUAGCUUAUAAAAUCAAAUUCACCUAUAAGUUUUCACAAACUUCUAUUAUUUCUAUUUGUUAACAUAUUUUGUUUAUUUCAUUAAAAAUACAUAAUGUUGUCUACACAUUUGUAACUUGCUUUUUCUCUUGUAAAAGGACUGGGAAGAUCUUGUAAUACUCUUUACUUAAUACAAUAGUUAAACACUUUCAAAAAAAAAGACUGUGGGAAGAAAAAAGAAAAAAAGGAAAGAAAUAUCACAGCAUUACGGAGAAUUAUAUUUUUCUAUAUGAAACAUUUCUAUACGAAAAGGAAGGAUGCACUUCUUUCAUCAAUCAUGAGAUUUUAAAAAUAAAACUGAAAUAGAGAUGUCUGUGACUAAUUAUGGCCGAAGUCCUCAUUGGGCACAAUGCAUCCCCUCACCCCCCCCCCUCCCCCCAUUUUUACCUGAUUCUUCUCCAGGUCAUGAUCGUGGCAGGAACAGAGACCACAGCGGUGACACUGCAGUGGGCACUAGCCCUCCUCCUCAACCACCCUGACUCCCUUCAGAAAGCUCAAACCAAGCUAGACCAACAAGUGGGAAGGGACCGAUUAGUUGAAGAAUCCGAUCUCUCAAAGUUAAGAGUACCUACGGGCUAUUAUCAAUGAGACACAAUGCUUAUAUCCUCCGGCCGCCACUCUCCUACCCCAUGAAUCCACUACAACGUGCACUCUCGGUGGCUACCAAAAGGCACAAUGCUCUGGGUGAACGCAUGGCACAUACAGAGGGACCCACCCUUGCGCGUGGUCUGAGCCUUUGAGGUUUAUAGGAAGUGGGGUUGAUGUGACGGGACAAGAUUUGAGGGUGAUAUCAUUUGGUUCUGGGAGGGGAGGAGGAGCUGUCCUGGAAUGGGCUUGGCGUUGAGGUCAUUAGAGUACGUGCUCGCGAGUUUGUUGCAUGCUUUUGAGUGGCGGAAGGAGGGCCCUGAGCCGGUUGACAUGCCUGCAUCUCAUUGAAGAUGGCUAUGCCCUUGAGACGGCUCCCGUCUCAUAUCUACCUCCUUGCAUGAUGCAUGGAUUGGCUCUGUCUGAGAGAGAGAGAGAGAGAGAGAGAUGAUUAGAGACAUGUUAGGUCCAUGUACAAGGUAUUUUAGUGCUUGCAUGUGCACAGACACGCCUACGAGAAAGUGUUAUGAUAUGUUUGUAUGAUCAUGAUCUCUAUUUGUGACUUAUCAAGCCUUAUGAUAUGUUAGUAUGAUCAUGAUCUCUAUUUGUGACUUAUUAAGCCUUGUGUGAUGGAAUUUAUUGCAUUGCUACCAUCUUGGGUGUGUAAGUGCCAUUCCUUGGAAGGCUCAUGGGCUUCGUAUUUGAAAGGGCUGGGGUAUUGAGAGAGUUGAGUGAUAAUAAACUUGAGCUUUUGAGCAGCAAAUGUAUUUGUUUCACUUAAUUUCAGAUCAGAAAACUGGAGGUUCUCUCUUAUACUAGAAAUACACACAAGCUAUUCAUUCAUGUACAUGAUUCAGUUUUUGUAACUAGGAUGCACAUGUGCAAAAUUGAUAACAAAGAUGAACAUCUGUGUGAUAAAGAAAAUGGCAUCAUUUGUCAGUACAAUUGAUAAUACAAGUUAUAUCACAGAAAAUCACUUUUCUGCAAUUAAAUAGUCCAUUCCAACAUAAGUCAGUAAUCUGAUUUAAACAUUCGAUUGAAAGAAAUUAUUUGGAACAAGAUUAUGAGCAUGAUGUUUCUAACAGAAAUCAUUAAAAAAGAGACCCAUAUAGUCUUUAACAAUAAAUUUUGCCCAAAAUAAAAAAUAAAAAAAUAGAAAAGCACUUAAAAAGAAACCCCAAACAUACAAAGGAAUUCAGGUCAUCAAUGUUUGAAAAGGGUGAAACAAUAUCACCAAUACCAUUACAAUCUAUUCACAUUGUUUGCAAAGAGGACAUGAUUAAAAUGGUUAAACCAUCUCCAAAAAUUCCCUGAGACAGCCAUAUCAAUCAACUUGUAGACAAAGUGGUUACUUUGAAAAGAACAUUUUACAAAAGUACCCUGUCAAUUAUUUCGUUAAAAAAUACCCAAGCUGCCCUUAGUCUAGAUUGGUAUAUGAAACUAACAAGGGUAUUUUAGUAAUUUUACCUCACUAAGUGGCUUGAGACGAGUGAUGUUAAUGCCCCUACUUGUUCCCGGUUCCCAACUUGGAAGAUGUGCUUUUUUGUAAAAUCUUUUAUGCCAGGUCUGUAAUAUGGAACAGGCAGGGGGGCAUUUUGAUAAAUUGUCCCCAUCUGUAACUUGAAUGGAGAGAGAGUUCAGAGAUUUUCAUCCAUUAUUUUAUUAUAGUGAAAUAAUUGGUGCUAGUUUCUUGUAUACAUCGAGUGAAGAUGCUCUCUUGUUUUAAAAGCUUGAGUUUUCAUUUUUCCCUAAUUGUCCUAUAUGAAGGUUCAUUCCUUGAAACUCUUGAAACCCCAAUAUUCCAAAAUGGAAGUUUUAUGUGAUUCUUUAUGUAGACAAAGGCAUGAAUGUCACAACGCAACAACCGGAUAGCUAAUAUAAAAUUUGAAAAUUUUGUGAAAGUGAACUGUAUCAGUUUUCUUGGGAAUUACAAAAUAAUAAUUUAUUCCUAGAUGUGUGAAUCUCUUGAGUUGACAUUGAUAAAUUUUAAAUUUUUUACUUUGUUGUACUUUGUACAAUAGUAGUUGCAAAGAUGCUUGAGAUUGCAGAGAAUCUUUUACAAAGCUCUCCGUAUGAAGUGACUCACUCUCUUCAAUCCAUGUUUCAAGAUCUACCUGAUGGGAACUUCUCAAUAGAAAGUACCUGUAUUAUUUGGUUCUCUGUUUAAUUGUCUGUUUUCUCUGCUAAUUUCAGUGCUCUUUUUAGCAGUAAAUAUUUACAGUAGGAAGUUCUUGAUUCCUUUACUAUAUGCUGGGUUUUGUAUGCUUCCCUCUAGAGUAGGCUUAUUUUUAGCUUUAGGACUUGGAGGCCUUGAUUCCUAGGGUUUCAGACCGAAGAGCAUUGGUCAUGAUUCAUCUUUAGCUAUUGUUUUUUCGAUGUAUCGAGGAUUUUGAAGCUUAUGUUGUGGGCUUCUUUUUUUUCUUUUAUGGGUGUUAUAAAAUGCCAAAAGUCCAUGGCUCUGGCAUUGAUUUAUGAUCUUCUUUGGAAAACCUAAGAAAUAAGUUAACCAGUUAAAGCUAAAAGUAUGUAUUUUUUCUUUUUUUUUCUUUUUUUCAUUUAUUGGAGUGUCUUAUUUCUAUGGCUCAUAUUUAUGCACUGAUGAAGGAAACCUAAAUUUACCUGUUGGAGUGGAAAUUUUCCAAAUUAGUGUUAUUUCGUAGUCUCAUAUGUUUUACUAGUUUAUAUAUUUGCAUUGAGUAGAAAGAGAGAGAAAUUUCUUGGGUAAGGGUGUAUAAUUUUAUAUGAUCUUGGGAUCAUUAGGAAUCCAUUUCUUCUCUUUGAACUGGAAAAUGGUUAGUAUCUAAAAUUCAUAGUUGUCUGUAUUAGUAGUUUUCUUUUUCUUUUUUUUCUUUUUUUUCUUUUUUUCCCUUUUCUGGGCUAAGCAUAGUUUUCUAUGUUAGUAAGAAUUUGAAGUUCCUAGUACUGAAAGUCCGUGAAAAGAAAACAAAAAGCCAUGGAACUCAUGUUGCUUGUAGCUUUUCUCUUAAUCUUGGCUACUUUAUAUUUAGCCAAAGAAAAAUCUUCAACUGUGAACCUUCCCCCUGGACCUCGGCCCUUGCCUUUCAUCGGUCAUUUCCACCUCCUGAAACGACCACUUUAUAGAUCUCUGUCCGAUCUUGCCAACCAAUAUGGCCCCAUAUUUAGCCUGCGACUUGGAAUUAGACCAGUCGUAAUUG
rnacentral:lncRNA from 1 species